rnacentral:rRNA from 1 species
UGGGGAAUUUUGGACAAUGGGGGAAACCCUGAUCCAGCCAUCCCGCGUGUGCGAUGAAGGCCUUCGGGUUGUAAAGCACUUUUGGCAGGAAAGAAACGUCAUGGGUUAAUACCCCGUGAAACUGACGGUACCUGCAGAAUAAGCACCGGCUAACUACGUGCCAGCAGCCGCGGUAAUACGUAGGGUGCAAGCGUUAAUCGGAAUUACUGGGCGUAAAGCGUGCGCAGGCGGUUCGGAAAGAAAGAUGUGAAAUCCCAGAGCUCAACUUUGGAACUGCAUUUUUAACUACCGGGCUAGAGUGUGUCAGAGGGAGGUGGAAUUCCGCGUGUAGCAGUGAAAUGCGUAGAUAUGCGGAGGAACACCGAUGGCGAAGGCAGCCUCCUGGGAUAACACUGACGCUCAUGCACGAAAGCGAGGGGAGCAAACAGG